rnacentral:rRNA from 1 species
UUNCGGCCUGGCGGAUGCUUACACAUGCAAGUCGAACGGCAGCACGGAGAGCUUGCUCUCUGGUGGCGAGUGGCGAACGGGUGAGUAAUAUAUCGGAACGUGUCCAAUAAUGGGGGAUAACGAGUCGAAAGAUUCGCUAAUACCGCAUACGCCCUACGGGGGAAAGCAGGGGAUCGUAAGACCUUGCGUUAAUGGAGCGGCCGAUAUCUGAUUAGCUUGUUGGUGAGGUAAAGGCUCACCAAGGCGACGAUCAGUAGCUGGUUUGAGAGAACGACCAGCCACACUGGAACUGAGACACGGUCCAGACUCCUACGGGAGGCAGCAGUGGGGAAUUUUGGACAAUGGGGGCAACCCUGAUCCAGCCUUUCCGCGUGAGUGAAC